rnacentral:rRNA from 1 species
AGCUUGCUCCCGGAUGUUAGCGGCGGACGGGUGAGUAACACGUGGGUAACCUGCCUGUAAGACUGGGAUAACUCCGGGAAACCGGAGCUAAUACCGGAUAGUUCCUUGAACCGCAUGGUUCAAGGAUGAAAGACGGUUUCGGCUGUCACUUACAGAUGGACCCGCGGCGCAUUAGCUAGUUGGUGGGGUAAUGGCUCACCAAGGCGACGAUGCGUAGCCGACCUGAGAGGGUGAUCGGCCACACUGGGACUGAGACACGGCCCAGACUCCUACGGGAGGCAGCAGUAGGGAAUCUUCCGCAAUGGACGAAAGUCUGACGGAGCAACGCCGCGUGAGUGAUGAAGGUUUUCGGAUCGUAAAGCUCUGUUGUUAGGGAAGAACAAGUGCGAGAGUAACUGCUCGCACCUUGACGGUACCUAACCAGAAAGCCACGGCUAACUACGUGCCAGCAGCCGCGGUAAUACGUAGGUGGCAAGCGUUGUCCGGAAUUAUUGGGCGUAAAGGGCUCGCAGGCGGUUUCUUAAGUCUGAUGUGAAAGCCCCCGGCUCAACCGGGGAGGGUCAUUGGAGACUGGGAAACUUGAGUGCAGAAGAGGAGAGUGGAAUUCCACGUGUAGCGGUGAAAUGCGUAGAGAUGUGGAGGAACACCAGUGGCGAAGGCGACUCUCUGGUCUGUAACUGACGCUGAGGAGCGAAAGCGUGGGGAGCGAACAGGAUUAGAUACCCUGGUAGUCCACGCCGUAAACGAUGAGUGCUAAGUGUUA